UAUUUCAGGUUUUGGGGGAGGUAGAGAAUGUGAUGUUUGGCGAAAUCAGGGCAGCAACAACCGUUCCAAGGUGUAAAUGGCAGGUCCUCUGCCUUUGCAUUAUAGAUUAGGGUUGUACAAGAAGGAGAACAAGCAGUAGAGAGAAGAGCAUAAGCAGGAGCAAAAGAAAACGAAGAAGCAGUCAUCCAAGGCGCUGUACAUGCAUGUUCAGCUUUGUACUACAUUCAGCGUGUUCAGCUGCAGGUCAUUGAAAAAUUCAAGUAAUUGAGUUUGCUUACUAAGAGAUGAUUACUCACCUUCCUCUUUGCUUAUUUAAAGAUCCCAGGAAGGUAGCACAUUUUAUAAUAAUAAGGAAGUCCUAUGAAAGGAGACAAUGAUGAACACACCUGAUGGCUCGUUGUCUUUGCUGUCAGCGCUGAUGCCGGCGAGGCGACGUGUUGAUGGCUCGUUGCUUUUAGUUUCUAGUGGCGAUAUCGACGUGGCGACGUGCAAAGCUGAGUUGCUAAGCACCUUAUUUGACCGAAGACCUGAGAUACAUUAAGGGUGCUGUACAUGUGUAUUUAUAAAUAGGAUCAGACUUGGAUCCAGAUUCCUGUAGCUAGUAGGAUUGGUCAGGCUCCUCUUAGUUUUUUUUUGACAAAACUCGUUUAUAAUCUAUAUAAAAGAUAGUGUUCCUUUUGUUUCUCGCUUAGCAGGCUAGCUAGUGGAGCUGGUUUUGCGAGCGUACUCAAACUGCACGGCCAUGGUUCGAGUCCUAUGAUGAGCGCAAUUUUUUUUCUCCAACGUAAAAACGACGGACGAAAAAAAAGAGGACGUAUGAAAAACAGCUUGAUGGACAAAUAAAAGUGAAGAAACGACCCGUCCUUUAAUAUUAGGGAGAGAAGAGAUAGAUAAUCACAAAUACACUAAUUACUUCUUUAAUUUGUUGAGGGGUCAAAAACUAAUUAACAAUUUGGCUUAAGCUGCGUUGGCAUCCAGACUUGCUACUAUCUCAUUUCAAUAGCAGCCAGUAUACCAUUUGUCACUACAAAGACAGAAAAAAGAAAAGGGAAGAGGGGGAACCUGCAGGUGACUAUGAUGAGCGCAAUUUUUUUUCUCCAACGUAAAAACGACGGACGAAAAAAAAGAGGACGUAUGAAAAACAGCUUGAUGGACAAAUAAAAGUGAAGAAACGACCCGUCCUUUAAUAUUAGGGAGAGAAGAGAUAGAUAAUCACAAAUACACUAAUUACUUCUUUAAUUUGUUGAGGGGUCAAAAACUAAUUAACAAUUUGGCUUAAGCUGCGUUGGCAUCCAGACUUACUACUAUCUCAUUUCAAUAGCAGCCAGUAUACCAUUUGUCACUACAAAGACAGAAAAAAGAAAAGGGAAGAGGGGGAACCUGCA